GCGGGUGUAGCUCAGCGGUAGAGCGCCUGCUUGCCAAGCAGGAGGUCGCGGGUUCAAAUCCCGUCGCCCGCUCCA
rnacentral:tRNA from 2 species